CCCUUAGAUGUUCUGGGCCGCACACGCGCUACACUGGCGGGUUCAUCGAGCUUCAUGCCCUGAUCUGAGAAGAACGGGAAAUCUUUGAACACCUGCCGUGCUUGGGAUAGAUGUUUGCAAUUAUUCAUCUUCAACGAGGAUUGCCUUGUAAGCGCACGUCAUCAGCGUGCAUUGAAUACGACCCUGUAUUCUGUACACACCGCCCGUCGCUCCUACCGAUUGAAGUUUUCGGUGAAUUUACUGGAGAUCCCUUUUGAAGGUGGUUCGCCACUGGAAGAAGUAUUCAAAAGUAAAUGAAUCGAAUGCUUUAGAGGAAGGAGAAGUCGUAACA
rnacentral:rRNA from 1 species